UACGUAGGAGACGAGCGUUGUCCGGAGUUACUGGGCGUAAAGGGUGCGCAGGUGGCGGCGCGCGUGGGGGGUGAAAUCGCCCGGCUUAACUGGGCGGGGGCCUUCCAGACGGCGUGGCUUGAGCAGCGGAGGGGGACGUGGAAUUCCGGGUGGAGCGGUGAAAUGCGUAGAGAUGUGGAGGAACACCGAUGGCGAAGGCAGCCCCCUGGGUUAACACUGACGCUCAGGCACGAAAGCGUGGGGAGCAAACAGG
rnacentral:rRNA from 1 species